UACGUAGGGUCCAAGCGUUAUCCGGAAUCACUGGGCGUAAAGCGUGCGUAGGCGGAUGUUUAAGUGCAAUGCGAAAAUCCUGUGGCUCAACCAUAUGGACUGUAUUGCAUACUGGAUAUCUGGAGGAAUGCAGAGGCAAGUGGAAUUACCGGUGUAGCAGUGAAAUGCGUAGAGAUCGGUAGGAACACCGAUGGCGAAGGCAGGUCUCUGGGCAUUAACUGACGCUGAGGAGCGAAGCAUGGGAGCGAACAGG
rnacentral:rRNA from 1 species